rnacentral:rRNA from 1 species
UCUUAGUGCGGAAGUUUUCGGAUGGAAGGAUUAAGACUUAGUGGCGGACGGGUGAGUAACGCGUGGGUAACCUGCCCUGUACAGGGGGAUAACAGUUGGAAACGGCUGCUAAAACCGCAUAACAUGGAGAUACCGCAUGAUAUUUCCAUCAAAUAUUUAUAGGUACAGGAUGGGCCCGCGUCUGAUUAGCCAGUUGGCAGGGUAAUGGCCUACCAAAGCGACGAUCAGUAGCCGGCUUGAGAGAGUGACCGGCCACAUUGGGACUGAGACACGGCCCAAACUCCUACGGGAGGCAGCAGUGGGGGAUAUUGCACAAUGGGGGAAACCCUGAUGCAGCGACGCCGCGUGAGUGAAGAAGUAUUUCGGUAUGUAAAGCUCUAUCGGCAGGGAAGAAAAAGCGCGCGAGCGCCCUUGACAGUACCUGACUAAGAAGCCCCGGCUAACUACGUGCCAGCAGCCGCGGUAAUACGUAGGGGGCAAGCGUUAUCCGGAUUUACUGGGUGUAAAGGGAGCGUAGGCGGCCACGCAAGUCAGAAGUGAAAACCCGGGGCUCAACCCUGGGAGUGCUUUUGAAACUGUGCGGCUAGAGUGUCGGAGGGGUAAGUGGAAUUCCUAGUGUAGCGGUGAAAUGCGUAGAUAUUAGGAGGAACACCAGUGGCGAAGGCGGCUUACUGGACGAUGACUGACGCUGA